GUCUGGUCCUGCUAUAACAGGUGUUAUAACCACCACCCUCCAGUCUGGUCCUGCUAUAACAGGUGUUAUAACAACCUCCCUCCAGUCUGGUCCUGCUAUAACAGGUGUUAUAACCACCUCCCUCCAGUCUGGUCCUGCUAUAACAAGUGUUAUAACCACCUCCAGUCUGGUCCUGCUAUAACAGGUGUUAUAACAACCUCCCUCCAGUCUGGUCCUGCUAUAACAGGUGUUAUAACCACCUCCCUCCAGUCUGGUCCUGCUAUAACAGGUGUUAUAACCACCUCCCUCCAGUCUGGUCCUGCUAUAACAGGUGUUAUAACCACCUCCCUCCAGUCUGGUCCUGCUAUAACAGGUGUUAU